UACGUAGGGUGCGAGCGUUGUUCGGAAUUACUGGGCGUAAAGGGCGCGUAGGCGGCCUGUUAAGUCGAACGUGAAAUCCCCGGGCUCAACCCGGGAACUGCGUCCGAUACUGGCAGGCUUGAAUCCGGGAGAGGGAUGCGGAAUUCCUGGUGUAGCGGUGGAAUGCGCAGAUAUCAGGAGGAACACCGGUGGCGAAGGCGGGUCUCUGGGCCGUAACUGACGCUGAGGAGCGAAAGCGUGGGGAGCGAACAGG
rnacentral:rRNA from 1 species